rnacentral:tRNA from 1 species
ACCUGGGUGGCUCAGUCGGUUAAGCGUCUGACUUCGGCUCAGGUCAUGAUCUUACGGUUCGUGGGUUCGAGCCCCACAUCAGGCU